CCAGUUCUGAUCCAGAGAAAAUAGUCCCAAUAAGAUGGAGCCUGAAGGCAUCAUUGAGAGAAACUGGAAUGAGAUUGCUGACAGUUUUGAUGAUAUGAACCUCUUGGAGUUCCUCCUCCAUGGCAUCUAUGCCUAUGGUUUUGAGAAGUCCUCUGCCAUCCAGCAGCGAGCCACUCUUCUUGUAUCAAGGGUUAUGAUGUGAUCACUCAAGCCCUAUCUGGGACUGGGAAAAUGGCCACUUUUGCCAUAUAAAUUCUGCAGUAGAUUGAAUUAGAUCUAAAGACUACCCAGGCCUUGGUUCUAGCACCCACUUGAUAAUUGGCUCAAAAGAUAGAGAAGGUGGUCAUGACACUAGGAGACUACAUAGGUGCCUCCUGUCAUGCCUGUAUUGGGGGCACCAAUGUGCGUGCUGAGGUGCAGAAACUGCAGGUGAAAGUUCCCCAUAUUAUCGUGGGUAUCCCUGCUCACGUGUCUGAUAUGCUUAACCAGAGAUACCUGUCUCCCAAAUACAUCAAGAUAUUUGUACUGGACGAAGUCAAUGAAAUGUUAAGCCAUGGAUUGAAGGACUCAAUCUAUGAUAUAUUCCAAAAGCUUAACAGCAACACCCAGGUGGUUUUGCUAUCAGACACAAGGCCUUCAGAUGUGCUUAAGGUGACCAAGAAGUUCAUGAGGGACCCCAUUUGGAUUCCUGUCAAGAAGGAAGAGUUGAUCCUGGAGGGGAUCCACCAAUUCUACAUCAAUGUGGAACAUAAGGAGUGGAAGUUGAGCACAUUGUGUGACUUGUAUGAAACCCUGACUGUCACCCAGGCAGUCAUCUUCAUCAACACCAGAAAGAAGGUAGACUGGUCACUGAGAAGAUGCAUGCUUGGGACUUCACUGCCAUGCAUGGAGAUAUGGACCAAAGGAAUGAAAUGUGAUCAUGAGGGAGUUUUGUUCUGG